rnacentral:rRNA from 1 species
UGGGGAAUAUUGCACAAUGGGCGCAAGCCUGAUGCAGCAACGCCGCGUGAACGAUGAAGGUCUUCGGAUCGUAAAGUUCUGUUGCAGGGGAAGAUAAUGACGGUACCCUGUGAGGAAGCCCCGGCUAACUACGUGCCAGCAGCCGCGGUAAUACGUAGGGGGCUAGCGUUAUCCGGAUUUACUGGGCGUAAAGGGUGCGUAGGUGGUCUUUCAAGUCGGUGGUUAAAGGCUACGGCUCAACCGUAGUUAGCCUCCGAAACUGGAAGACUUGAGUGCAGGAGAGGAAAGUGGAAUUCCCAGUGUAGCGGUGAAAUGCGUAGAUAUUGGGAGGAACACCAGUAGCGAAGGCGGCUUUCUGGACUGCAACUGACACUGAGGCGCGAAAGCGUGGGUAGCAAACAGG